GUCAAUAAGAAGAGGCAAUUUAGUGGUGUGUUUGGGUCUGUAGCACAACUCUACUCUGCUAACAAUUUCCACUGCUCUUCAUGACUCUUCCAUUCGCCAUGCCACAUCUGGAAAUUGACACCUGGCAGUCACCUCCAGCACCUUCUGCUUCCCUGGUUGUCCACCCACAGGGGAUGGGCCAUAUUAACAUUGAACUCAUGGCCAACAGCUCCAUAACUCAUGCUUGAAUGAAGCCUGUCCAAUACUCGUAUUUUCUCUGUGAGGCACAUCACAGCCUUCUUGUGGUUAGGACC
rnacentral:lncRNA from 1 species